rnacentral:rRNA from 1 species
CUAGCGACUUCUAGAGUUUGAUCCUGGCUCAGGAUGAACGCUGGCGGCGUGCUUAACACAUGCAAGUCGAACGGACUUAGGUCACCGAACUGGAUUUAGCUUGCUAUUGAAGGUUCACCGGUCUAAGUUAGUGGCGGACGGGUGAGUAACGCGUGGGCAACCUGCCUUUAUCCGGGGGAUAACAGUUAGAAAUGACUGCUAAUACCGCAUAAGCGCACGAGGAGGCAUCUCCUUGUGUGAAAAACUCCGGUGGAUAGAGAUGGACCCGCGUUAGAUUAGCCAGUUGGCGGGGUAACGGCCCACCAAAGCGACGAUCUAUAGCCGGCCUGAGAGGGCGACCGGCCACAUUGGGACUGAGACACGGCCCAA